GGAUGAACGCUGGCGGCGUGCCUAAUACAUGCAAGUAGAACGCUGAAGGAGGAGCUUGCUCUUCUGGAUGAGUUGCGAACGGGUGAGUAACGCGUAGGUAACCUGCCUGGUAGCGGGGGAUAACUAUUGGAAACGAUAGCUAAUACCGCAUGACAACAGUUAUUGCAUGAUAACUGUUUAAAAGGGGCAACUGCUCCACUACCAGAUGGACCUGCGUUGUAUUAGCUAGUUGGUGAGGUAACGGCUCACCAAGGCGACGAUACAUAGCCGACCUGAGAGGGUGAUCGGCCACACUGGGACUGAGACACGGCCCAGACUCCUACGGGAGGCAGCAGUAGGGAAUCUUCGGCAAUGGACGGAAGUCUGACCGAGCAACGCCGCGUGAGUGAAGAAGGUUUUCGGAUCGUAAAGCUCUGUUGUAAGAGAAGAACGAGUGUGAGAGUGGAAAGUUCACACUGUGACGGUAGCUUACCAGAAAGGGACGGCUAACUACGUG
rnacentral:rRNA from 1 species